AAGAAGAAGGAUCUUUUGGUCUUUAUGGAUGUCUCCAUUGAUGGGGACCCUGCUGAAAGAAUUAUUUUUGAGCUUUUUCCUGAAGUUGCUCCAAAGACGGCAGAAAAUUUCCGAACACUCUAUACUGGAGAGAAGGGAAUUGGCCAGAAGACAAGGAGACCACUGCACUUGAAGGGGUCAUUUUUCCAUCGGAUCAUUAGAGGCUCUAUGGCUUAGGGUGGUGAUUUUCACAAAAGAGAUGGUAAGAAUUUUUUUCAUGGCUGUCCAAUUUGUCUGUUUGUUUGUAAUUUCACUCAUCUUCCAUGGUUGCUUUUGAGGCCUAAACUUUGGAUUUUCUUGUUAUGUGGCAAUUUAUUGAGGUUCUUUUUUUUUUUUUUUUGUCUUUGGUUUCUGUUAUGUGCAUCUCGUUGGUCAAGAUGGACAACGCUACAAAUUGCUACUGGUGAACAGGCCAAUGGCCAUCAUAUGUGAUUAUAUGCA